GCCAGGCGUGGUGGCGUACGCCUAUAAUCCCAGUUGCUCAGGAGGCUGAGACAGAAGAAUUGCUUGAACCCGGGAGGUGGAGAUUGCAGUGAGCCAAGAUCGUGCCACUGCAUUCCAGCCUGGGUGACAGAGCGAGACUCUGUCUCAA
ensembl:misc_RNA Metazoa_SRP Metazoan signal recognition particle RNA